CUGACAGACACCACAUCCUUCCAGCAAGUUUCUUGGAAAUCCAUCCAGCAGUUUUUUGCGUGAUCUUGCUUACUAACAAAAAACCUCCUUGGCAGAGUUCAGUCUCAAACCUGAUUCCAACAGAAACAGGCAGCUGAUUUCAGCCAAAUAUCUGAUGAAGCCACUGUGUACCUGCUCACCAGAAGACAAAGUCCAUUAGGCCACCUCACCUCCCAUUUCAGAGUUCCAUGUCACGGAAAGAUGACCUACCAUGGCACGUCACCUGCUGUUCCCAGCAUUCCCUGCUUAGCUGCCAUUAUUCUGGGAGCCA